GUUCCAAACACGUCAUGGCCAGAGUCCAGAUCUCCAUCAGGGCUGAUCGCUAUUCACCUAUCAAGUCUUGGUUUCAAACACGCUCGUGAAGCCUUCGUCCUCUCUCAGUACCUGGCACAUACCGGUAUUAUGGUCAUUUCAGCCCGUUGUGUUGUCAUCUUUUUCUGCUUUUCUUUUGUCUACCCACUAGGAGCAGAGCCUGAUGAGGCAUUUGAAUACAGUACAUGAAAUUCAAAACCUCAGUUGUGAAUUCGCUAUUUACCAAUGACAAGGUUUAAGUUCUUCAGUGGCCAUGAACAUUAUCAAUUAAUGCAAAGAUCCUGGGCUUUCAAUCCAAAGAAGCUUACCUCUCUGCUCCAGAUGCUCAUCUUGCUGGCUGUGUGUCUCCAGAAUCUUCUGGAGAGGAAAGAAGAAACCAUGUCUAGACAAGGUGCUGGAAAGACCCAGGGAAGACACAGAUUUGUUCCUUUCUCCACCAUGCCUCACUAUGUGUCAC
ensembl:lncRNA LINC03000 long intergenic non-protein coding RNA 3000